GAGCAGCUGGCUGGCCUGAACCCCGCCCAUGGGACAGGCACCCCCAGUUCGGUCCCCUCCUCCUCCAGCUCCAGCAGGGCCCCAGGGCGCUGGACUCCCAAGCCAGUGCUCCCUGAGCUCCAGGCCAAUCCCAUCCUUGACCAUCCACACAAAGUUGGGAUGAGCUAAGUCUAGGAGGAAGCCCUGGGUCCUGGUCUCCUGUACCUCCUUGGGGACCUGGGGGACAAGAGAGAGGGGGUCAGACCUCCAGGGCGCGGGACCAGGGGCGUGCACAGUGGGUGCGCGUGAGUGUCGGGGUGUGUUCCAGGCACUGGGACAAUGGUGUUGGGUGGGACCUGGGUUUGAUAGCAUCAAGGAGCUGCUGCUGCAGACAGCAAAGCUCUGUUUACACAGAGCUUGUAGAUCUUUAUCGCCCCAGGCUAAGGGCAGGAAGCUCAGUGCCCAAGAAGUGAGGUGACCUGCUGACCCCACACUGCUAGAAGUGAAAGAGCUGGGAGAGAAAAUCUAAUGGGUUUUUCCGGGACCCUAUUCCAGGGAACACUCAUUUCCUUCAGGAAGUGGACAGGAGAUAAUUGAAAUGAAGGACCAAGGACAAACAAGUCCAUGUGUUUGUUUUUUGUGAAAAGGUCUCACAGUGUUGCCUAGGCUGGUCCUGAACUUGUGGGUUCAAUCGCUCCCCCGGCAUCCACUUCCGAAACGGUGGGGACUACAGGUAUGUGAGAUUGUGCCCAGCUCCAAGUGAGUUUGUAAAUGAUCAAGUUAAAAAUCUGGGUAUUAGGGCGCACGCUUGUAAUUCCAGCACUCUGGGAGGCUGAGGUAGGAGGAUCACCUUGGAGUUCAAUGCCAGCCUGGGCUAUAGAAUGAGAUCCUGUCUCAAAAAAUUGAAAAAAAAAAAAAAAACCAACCCAGGAAGAAGGACCUAAGCUAGCAGCUUCCUCUGCCUGGCCAGGUGAUGCCCUGUGCCGGGGAUGCCCAGUAGGAGGCAGGUGCCAGGCAGACAGAAGUGCCAUGCUCUUCGAUUUCCAGAAUGAUGGGCCAAAGGAGCCUUUUUUCCCCUCCUAACUCCUGUGGCACUCAGUUACGACAGCAGACGUGGACCUGGCUGGGACUGUGCAUCAGAGUCCUCUUGGAUCGGUGAACCCUGCAGGCGCAGCCCUGGAGCUCAGGGCUUGGGUCUGCUGUGUUGAGCCUGGGACUGGAGAGGGACCUCGAAUACAGGCAUCUGUACGACGAGGCUCUGGGACAACACGUGUCACAGAGGGAAUGCUGGCUAGGUGUGGUGAUGGAAGGAAAGGAAACUGCAGCCUCCAGGAGCCUGGGCUGGCCGCAGGCCGGGAGAGGGUUGGAGCAUGCGGCCAGGUGAGGGGGCAGGGGACGCACAGGGUGCCCACCGGGAAGAUGACGAAGCCGAUGGUCAGCAGCGUGGCCCCUGCGGCUGGCCAAGCCUCCAGUUCUUCUGCAUCAGAGCCACCAGGCAGGUGCAGACGACCGUGUCAUCCUCCAGGUCGUCCUCGGGGUCGUCGCCCACCAAGAGUGAGACUCUGAACUGGGGGUUGGUCCAGAAUGUGUCUGUAGGGAGGUCGUCGGGGGUCAGGGCGUGGGGCUGGGCUGGGCACACAGGGGUCCGAUGGACACUCGGCUUCAGGUACCCCAAGCCUCCCACCCUCGUCCUUGACCCACUGAGGUUGUUCCUGCAGCCCCCCGCAGUGCUGCCCCUCCGCCAGCUGCCCUCGUAGAAGGUGAUGUGCCAGCGCCUCUUGGACCCCCGCCCGGGCAUCAGGUGUAAGGUUGCAGACCUCCAGGAGGGAGAAGUGGCACAGGAAGUCUUGGUAGGACAUCCUGUGGCGGGGAGGAGGGCACACUGCACACGCCCAUGCCCAGGGUCCCCGAGCUUCUCCAACCACCAUCAUGGCAGGGAGACAGGGACGAGGUAAGGGGUUGGGUGGCCCCAGCCACACUGACCAGAAUUCACCAUCCUCUUUCUUGCGCAGCAGCUGCAUCUGGACCUUGGGGUCUACUUCGCCCCACUCUGCAGAGCUGCGGGAGGCAGGGCUGGGAGGGUGCGCAGGGACACCAUCUCCCCUUGGAUGCUGUCGGCCCCAGGCAGUGCCUGGGCCCCCGGGGAACCCUCAGGCACCUUGUGGGAUGCCUACUUGUCGCUCCAGGCUCCAUUCCAUUCAAUGUGGCCCCAGGGGUUGAGGAGCCGCAGCAGCGUCUCCAUCCUGCCCCUGUAGAGGACCUGGGGGAGAUGGACUGGUCAGGGCCACUGCAGGGUCCCCGUCCCUCUCCUGACCCUCGGGUGGGCUGCGGCCAGGACUCACAUCCACCAGGCCAGUCACUGAGUACGCGUGGCCCCUCACCAGCAAGCUGGGCAUUACCGACUCCGGCUCACUGUCGCUGGUGACCUGCAGGGCAAAGGAAGAGGACAGGCAUGGUCUGCACCGGGCACCCCAAGGAGGGGAGAACUCCUGGUGUCUUUCUUUUUAAGGCCUUCUCCAGCAGGGCGCUCCAGAACUCCUCGCACUGCUGCGAGUGCACGAAGAGCAGCCGGUUGGCCCUGCUGGGC